GCAACACAAUGAUGCCACUACAGGGCAGGUAGAAUGACAGUCAUAGAUAAGACUGGUGGCUGAGGGUAAGGAGCUUGUACAUCACUACUGGAAUGCAAAACCAUGAAUCUACUUUAGAAAACAGUGAGCAAACACAUCAUCAUGGAUAAGGUGUGUCUGACAGAUGGGAAAGCCACCAAGUUAUCGGAGAACGCUCGCCUGUCUGUCCUCCAACAGAAUGAACCACCACCAAGAGUGACAUCCUAGGAGAACAGUCAUUGUACUACUAUCAAGACUCUCCAGCCAGGAAUUCACAAAGGGCACAGCGGGGACUCCCAGAGCUCCACCCUGAUCUGUCAGCGUUGUCUGAACCAAGUGCACUGAUAAG